UAUAUCAUUCAGAACGGAAGAGAGAUCAGCUGUCAUUGAUGUUGAAAUCGUUCAAUGAUUCAAUAACAGCUGAUCUCUUUUUUGUUUACAUUUUCAUUGGCAAACAAACUAGCAUCUUCUUCAUACGUUGUGUCGAAAAGCUUAUGAUUUCUUACUGAUCAUGGCAACAGCGAUAAAGAAUUUUUAUUUGGAAGAGUUUGUUCCAUCAUAUCAAAGUGCAAGUGGCAGAUUGAUUGACAUAUCGAAACUGGUUGAAGAAAAUAAAAACUGGACUCCCAUACCGUUACCCUACUCCAACAAAACUCAAUCGGUGAUGAACCUUAGUGCGGCGAUCAUCGUCAACAUUUGCAGAACUUAUCACAACACUACACUGUUACCGAAAAAAGCCUUCGAGCUAAUUACGGAACUAAUCACGGCAUCAACUGAUAACCCAGACGUCGUCGCAAAACAAAUAUUUUUAACACACAUUACAAAGAGAAUCAUGAAUGUUGAGGUCUUCAGCUUCCAUGUAGUACGAAAUAACUGCAUGAAAAUAAAAAAUGUUUUGUUCGACGACGAGCGAAAGUGGGUCGAGUUAGCUGAAAAAGUGAUGAGUCAUAGACAGAUAAACGGCAAGAUUGAUGAAUGUCUUGCAGAUUUCGGCCAACCCGUUCAUGAACUGACUGACAUAGAAUAUGAGCAGACUAAAGUCAAAGUGACGUUGGUUGAGUCUGCCGCUGCAAUGGUUCGUGGAUUUGCUGGUUUCCAUGAAAUUUUCAUUAACGCUGAUCACUUUCGCCAAAAAAUCGAUAACUUCAAGGGUGACACGCAUUUGUUACAGCUCGUAGCAAAAAUUGACAUAAUUUCCGUUGUUCUACACGAAUACGGUCAUAUAAAGAUUCGCCAAAGCAACGGAGACUUUAAUAUGCAUUCUCCCAUCGUGGGACAACUGAGCGGGCUACCUGCCAUAAAGCACGAGUUUGGCAUAUAUGCAGAAAAGAAGAUUUUCGGUCAGCAGAUAGACUGGUUUCUUUCGUAUGACAAUAUGGAUAUUCCGUUCGUAGAGAGUUUUGUGGGGGCAAUCGAAAACAAUAGUUCGCUUCCACUUGGUUUCGUUGAAGGGGUCGUACCACGGGACGGAGAUCCGUUUGUGAUCGGUGCAGACGUUCAGCAUCGAGAUUACAUUUGCUAAUAAUUGUCAUUUCGACAUAAAACAAACAUGAAAUUCGCUGCGAACACUAAACACUCCAUAUGAUUUUUCGUUAGUUUGUUAGUUUCAUUCCAUGACCUCGAAGCUUUUACACACUCCGGACCGUUGAUACCUUGCGAUGUGUUGCUAUUCCGACACUACGGUUUAUAUGACAUGGCUCAGUUGCGUUUCAAACCUGGCCAUAAAAUAAAUG